rnacentral:rRNA from 1 species
CCGUAGCCCAAGAGAUCGGGAUAACACCUGGAAACAGAUGCUAAUACCGGAUAACAACAGAUGAUGCCUAUCAACUGUUUAAAAGAUGGUUCUGCUAUCACUCUUGGAUGGGCCUGCGGUGCAUUAGCUAGUUGGUAGGGUAACGGCCUACCAAGGCGAUGAUGCAUAGCCGAGUUGAGAGACUGAUCGGCCACAUUGGGACUGAGACACGGCCCAAACUCCUACGGGAGGCAGCAGC